UACAGAGGGUGCAAGCGUUAAUCGGAGUUACUGGGCGUAAAGGGCGUGUAGGCGGGUAUGUAAGUCUUAUGUGAAAGCCCCGGGCUUAACCUGGGAAUUGCAUGAGAAACUGUAUAUCUAGAGAUAAGUAGAGGGUGACGGAAUUUCCGGUGUAGCGGUGAAAUGCGUAGAUAUCGGAAGGAACACCAGUGGCGAAGGCGGUCACCUGGACUUAUACUGACGCUGAGGCGCGAAAGCAUGGGGAGCGAACAGG
rnacentral:rRNA from 1 species